rnacentral:rRNA from 1 species
UACGAAGGGGGCUAGCGUUGCUCGGAAUUACUGGGCGUAAAGGGCGCGUAGGCGGACAUUUAAGUCAGAGGUGAAAGCCCAGGGCUCAACCUUGGAACUGCCUUUGAUACUGGAUGUCUUGAGUUCGGGAGAGGUGAGUGGAAUGCCGAGUGUAGAGGUGAAAUUCGUAGAUAUUCGGCGGAACACCAGUGGCGAAGGCGGCUCACUGGCCCGGUACUGACGCUGAGGUGCGAAAGCGUGGGGAGCAAACAGG